UACGUAGGUGGCAAGCGUUGUCCGGAUUUACUGGGCGUAAGGAGCGCGCAGGCGGUCGUUCAAGUCGGGUGUGAAAGCCCCCGGCUCAACUGGGGAGGGUCACGCGAUACUGAUCGACUCGAAGGCAGGAGAGGGUAGUGGAAUUCCCGGUGUAGUGGUGAAAUGCGUAGAUAUCGGGAGGAACACCAGUGGCGAAGGCGACUACCUGGCCUGUUUCUUGACGCUGAGGCGCGAAAGCUAGGGGAGCAAACGGG
rnacentral:rRNA from 1 species